AUUGAACGCUGGCGGCAUGCCUUACACAUGCAAGUCGAACGGUAACGGGCCUUCGGGUGUCGACGAGUGGCGAACGGGUGAGUAAUGUAUCGGAACGUACCUUUCAGUGGGGGAUAACGUAGCGAAAGUUACGCUAAUACCGCAUAUUCUGUGAGCAGGAAAGCAGGGGAUCGCAAGACCUUGCGCUGAUUGAGCGGCCGAUAUCAGAUUAGCUAGUUGGGGAGGUAAAGGCUCACCAAGGCGACGAUCUGUAGCGGGUCUGAGAGGAUGAUCCGCCACACUGGAACUGAGACACGGUCCAGACUCCUACGGGAGGCAGCAGUGGGGAAUUUUGGACAAUGGGGGCAACCCUGAUCCAGCCAUGCCGCGUGAGUGAAGAAGGCCUUCGGGUUGUAAAGCUCUUUCGGCCGGGAAGAAAUCGUAUCAGCUAAUACCUGGUGCGGAUGACGGUACCGGCAUAAGAAGCACCGGCUAACUACGUGCCAGCAGCCGCUGUAAGAC
rnacentral:rRNA from 1 species